AGUGAGCCAAGAUUGCACCACCACACUCCAGGCUCUCCGAUGGAGGAUGUCCCGGCGCAAGACUAUCAGCAGGAAGAGGAUGCCCAGAAGCACAUGGCCCAGAUUGCUGAGAAUGUUGUUGAAGGCACUACAGGGAUGAGUGAGAGACCAUGAGAGAGUCAAGGCCGUCAAAGGGACCCAGAGGAUGUAUGAUGCAUGAAGGUGUUUUGAAGUAGCCAAGUGUUCCUCACUAGCUCUUACCCUGGAUGAAGAAAGAUCCUCCGCAGGCAUAAUCUUCAGGCUUUAUCACAAAUACCACGAAGAACUGCUCGCCUGGAAAAUCCUUCUUCUGCAUAAGACAUAACAACCUUAUGAUAUGUGGGUAAGAAAGAGCUAGAAGGGAGAAAGUCCCUGGGGGUGAGGGCAGAAAGAAAGAGGAAAGAGAAGGAAAAUAAAGUUCACCCCUGCCCUCUAACUCCUCGGAAAGAACUUUCACAUACCCAUGAUCUACUCCAGAUUAUCCACUCUAAGAUAAUUGUUACGUCUAAGAAAUUAAGGUAAACAGAUACACAUUUCUGAUUUCAAUCAAUUUUGUGCCUACUUGACUGCUUAGAACGGUAAUAAGCACCAUAUAAAUAA